rnacentral:misc_RNA from 1 species
GAUGAAGAACGUAGCGAAAUGCGAUAAGUAAUGUGAAUUGCAGAAUUCAGUGAAUCAUCGAAUCUUUGAACGCACAUUGCGCCCGCCAGUAUUCUGGCGGGCAUGCCUGUCCGAGCGUCAUUUCAACCAUCAAGCCCCCGGGCUUGUGUUGGGGACCUGCGGCUGCCCGCAGGCCCUGAAAACCAGUGGCGGGCUCGCUGCCACACCGAGCGUAGUAGCAAUCACCUCGCUCAGGGCGUGCUGCGGGUUCCGGCCGUUAAACAGCCUUACAAAACCCAAGGUUGACCUCGGAUCAGGUAGGAAGACCCGCUGAACUUAAGCAUAUCAAUAAGCGGAGGA